GCGAUCGACUUGGGACUAGUCCACGAUCUACCGGUCAAUCGCGAUCGACGUAAUGGGCACCCCUACUUUAGAAGUUUCCCUCCACCAGCACACCCGAAUCAACCGAUGAGCUCAUCAGCAAACUCUCCAGAAACCUGAUAAUGAUCCUGAUUAUUUGAGUCUGAUAUGUUGAAGGAGGGACCGGAUGUGGACACCCCUGAUAUAAUGUUUUUAUGUUCAGGGGUGAGCUACAUCCCUGAAAAGGUUUUGGCCCAUCCGGGGGAGAACAUAAGUCUUUACUGUGUGUUCAACGACCACAGCAUCAAUGCCAACUCUGCUGUGUGGAUGCGGAACUUGGAACAGCCUCUGUCUUCCAGCCAGUAUCACUCAGUCAACCAACGGGUCAGCCACAUCACAAUACAGCCGUCAGACUCAGGGAUGUAUGAGCUGCUACAGUGUAGGGCAACAAAGGAGUGGCCCAUCCCUUACAGCAUCAUCUAUGUAGAAGUGGAACGAAGCAGACAUCUUUUGAUGCUAAGGCUGGGAACAUUGACGCUGCCACAUGGGACGCGCACUGCCCAUUAAAGACAAAACAGACCACCAAACACAUGGACAAAACAGAGGCAGGCGAAAAGAACAUUUUGUGAAUGAUCUGCUAUGUCCCAAGCUUCAAGCCUCUGUUCUACGUUACAAGACCAAGUUCAGUGUGAAAGCAGAUGAUGCAAAAAAAGUACCUGUGGCACGAAAGUGAAGCUGGUCUUGCCUUGUGGAUGACCUUGAAGCACACCUAUCGUAUUCUGAGUCCCUUAUCUGGAGCCUUGGAUGUGGCUUUCAAAGACGGAAUCCCAUUUUGAGCGAUGCCCUCCUCAAGUUUGUGACUUCGCAGAAGACAGUGACAUGCAAGUAUCUUGAAAGAGGACAACACACAAAUGCGGUGUUAUUCAACGCAUCGUGUGACAGAGAGAGGGAACUGAGGCACGGAGACAGGCAUGUUCCAGCCAGUUACACUGCAGUUAUCCGGGGUGCUCGCUCUCCUCCCAGGCCUUAACAAGUAUCAGAUGGAUGAAACAACGGACUAUAAACUGUGCCACUCAAGAGGACUGGGAACUUGUCCCUUAGGAGGAAGGAGAGCACAAAUGUGACCAGACUGUACACA